UGUAGCAAUCUGCCCUUCUCUUUGGAAUAAGCGUUGGAAACGACGUCUAAUGCCGAAUACGACCUCCUUUCGCAUGAUCGGAGGUGGAAAGCUCCGGCGGAGAAGGAUGAGCUCGCGGCCUAUCAGCUAGUUGGUGGGGUAACGGCCCACCAAGGCGACGAUCCGUAGCUGGUCUGAGAGGACGAACAGCCACACUGGGACUGAGACACGGCCCAGACUCCUACGGGAGGCAG
rnacentral:rRNA from 1 species